rnacentral:rRNA from 1 species
AGUGAACGCUGGCGGUAGGCCUAACACAUGCAAGUCGAACGGCAGCACAGUAAGAGCUUGCUCUUACGGGUGGCGAGUGGCGGACGGGUGAGGAGUACAUCGGAAUCUACUUUUUCGUGGGGGAUAACGUAGGGAAACUUACGCUAAUACCGCAUACGACCUACGGGUGAAAGCAGGGGAUCUUCGGACCUUGCGCGAUUGAAUGAGCCGAUGUCGGAUUAGCUAGUUGGCGGGGUAAAGGCCCACCAAGGCGACGAUCCGUAGCUGGUCUGAGAGGAUGAUCGGCCACACUGGAACUGAGACACGGUCCAGACUCCUACGGGAGGCAGCAGUGGGGAAUAUUGGACAAUGGGCGCAAGCCUGAUCCAGCCAUACCGCGUGGGUGAAGAAGGCCUUCGGGUUGUAAAGCCCUUUUGUUGGGAAAGAAAAGCAGCAGGUUAAUACCCCGCUGUUCUGACGGUACCCAAAGAAUAAGCACCGGCUAACUUCGU